rnacentral:lncRNA from 10 species
CUUGCCUGAAAUCUGCCCUCAGGUGAGCCAGAAAAAGCCACAUCCAGGGAUAUGCCACUUUUCAGAAUUUGCUGUGAAUCAAAUCAUAAGUGUGCUAGGGAAAGCUAUUGACUGCUGAGUGCUGCUGGUUGCCUUAAACUGCAGAGCCAGGUGCUACCAAAGCCCCAAGUUGAGAAGAACACAGCAGGACCAGUAAGAGAGAGCCUCCUGCUCCAGCAUCUCUUCAGGGCACCCUACUGGCAAAGCUUAACAUCAUCUCAGCUGGCAAAGGAGGCUUGCGCGACUGGGAGAGAUGACCAGAAGCCAGGGGUUGCAAAUGGCAGUGUAAUGCAAGGGUCUCCUGAUCUGGGGCCGAUGAGAGGGUUUGAACCCCAACUCUGGCACCUGUGAGUGUAGCAGACUCAGAAUUAUAAACCACGAAAAUAUCAAAGAAGAAAAAAGUACUACAUUUCCAGAAAAGCAGAGUAUGUAAAGUGUGCUGUGGCUCAUAGGAGGAAGGAACUUGCCUUGUCUCAGAUGAAACUUUGGACUGUGGACUUUUGAAUUAAUGGUGAAAUGAGUUAGGACUUUGGGGGACUGUUGGAAAGACAUGACUGGUUUUGAAAUGUGAGAACAUGCAAUUUGCGAGGGGCCAAUGGUUAAAUGCUAUGGACUGACUGUGUCCCCACGCAAAUCUCAUAUUGAAUUGUAGCUCCCAUAAUCCCCACGUGUCAUGGGAGGUACCCAAUGGGAGGUAAUUGAAUCAUGGCGGGGGUUGGGGGGGAUCCCAUGCUGUUCUUAUGAUGAUGAAUAAAUUUCAGUAGAACUGCUGAUUUUGUAAAAGGGCAGUUCCCCUGCACAUGCUAUCUUACCUGCCACCACAUGAGAUGCGGCUUUGCUCCUCCUUUGCCUUCUGCCAUGAUUGUGAGGCCUCCCCAGCUAUGUGGAACUGUG